GGAACUUCAGGUGGCCUGUAAGAGUGGAGAGCAGCUACCAGCCAACAGUCAGCAAGAACCUGAAGCCCCAGCUCUACAGCCAAGCCUCAGAGAAAGCUGUUCUGGAGCUUGGAGGAUGUGCUCCACCAAAACAAGGGGCUAAACUGAGAAACAGGAAGACGAGAGAUCCAGAAAAGGAGGUAAAACUUGAGAGAGAGAGUUAAAGUGGAUCCCCAGCAUGACAAAAUGACCCUAGGAUGGCAGCUGUGCUCCAGUUCCAGAGGAUGAGCAGUUUUAAAUGAAACAGGCUACAGAGACCCUGGGGAGAUGUUAAGAAAAUGCAGUUGGUGGAAUACCUGUUACAGGUGUUUUCAGAGACUCUGCAACCUGGACAGAGCUUAAGGAGGCCUCUGGGUCCAACCUACUUCUGAGCCACGGAAGACAAGUGUGAGCAGUCUUAUCCUUAAUCACCCUCCAGGGCUGAGGGGACGCAGCUAAGGCCAGUGCUCACUGGACUCCUUUAGAUACAGUGCCUUCUUGCUGCAUCCUCUGGAGAGAAGGAGCCCUGCGUCCUCAGGGAAGGCAGAAGGGCAGGCAAGCCGGAUACUGUGAUGGUGCCUCUUCCAUUCACAAGGGAGGAGCCCUCACAGCCUUGUCAUCACCUCCUAAAGGCCUUGCCUUUUAAUUUGAUCACAUGGGCCAUGAAGUUUCAACACCUGAAUUUUGGCAGAAAUGCAUUCAAACCACAGCAGACCCAUUAUCCUAUUUCUAAGGAACCUGGGAUAAGACAAGUCCAUAGGACAGGCAUGGACAAGCGUCCUGAGCCCUGGGGCCAGGGGAAAUCCAAGGUAACAAGGGAAAUUGGCGAUCCCAGCCAGGUGCAUGGCUAGAGCAGUUCUUUCCUUCGGAAGGGCAGCGAUGGAAAUUUCAGCUCUACUUUUUCCUUUUCCCGAGCUGUGUGAUCUUGAGCAGCUUCCUUGCAGCUCAUCCUUCAUGUCCUAAAACAGAUGAUACAGCAACAUCAGCAAGGUGGCAGACUAAGGAACUUCAGACACUACUUACUACCCCCAGAAACAUUUUUUUAAAAACAAUUAGAGGACCUUUGGAAAAUAGUGAAAAGGUACAGGAGCCAAGCAACUGCCCAUUCAAGAAAAAGCAACAUUCAAAAUGCAGGAGAUUUUGUGGAUUUGUACUCCCCCUUUCUGCACCCUUCCCUGGCACUGAGCAGUGUUGGUUUGGAGGAGGUGGCAGCCCAGCUCCCAGUUCUUUCCCUCUAAUGUUAGUGAGCAGAGUCUAACCUGUCUGGGGAUGGCUUGAAGGAUUAGUCCUGCUUUGUUCAACUCAGAGCUCAGAAUAAGAGAAGCAGUUUAAUUCAGAUUGCAGGCUGAGAAAAAGCUAUGGAAAGCAGCAGGAACUGCUCUUAAAAACUGCAGGGAGGCUACAGAGACUGAAGAUGCCUGGGCAAGAGAUUUCAAAUGGAAGCAUGUAAUAAACCCUCUAAGGGCACACAAAGAAGCUGGAACAAGACUUUUGGAAAAUUAAGAUGUCUAAAAGGAGCCAUGUUUAUGGGGAAAUAGUUAAAGCCACAUGAAGGCUCAGACGAGAUGCAUACUCAGAAAAAACCUGAGAAGAUCUUAAGCUACUCCUUGGGCUGACUCCAAGGCUCAGAACAUGUCCUGAGAAUUAGUGAAGAUCUUCCCCAUCACAUAGCCUGUCCGCAAAUACUAGGAGAAGUGGCUGUUUUUUCAAAUUCUUAAUUCUCAACAACGACAACAAAAAUCACAAGGCGUACAAAGACACCAGAAAAUACAACUUCUUCAGGGAAGAAAAUGAAUUGUCGGAAACCACCCGUAAAUCCAAGAAAAUGAUGGAGGCAAGUCUCAACCUUUUUAGAAGUAUAUUUUGCCGAGGUGAAAGACACGCCCAGGAGAAAGGAACACGUACCCACAGGAAACAUCUGCGGUCUGUGCUUUUUCCACACAGGGUCUGGGGGCUUCAUUAUUUAUAGGGAAAACAGCAGGCAGUAGGUGAAAGAGGAAGAGAGAAAAAAAGGGAGGGUAGGUAAGGCGAGCAGUUGCAUUCCUUUCAGUCUUUUGAUUAUUUUCACUGAGUCCACAUUUUUCAUGUGAAAGAAGCCGGCUAAGGAAAAGUCAAUUAUGCAUUCUUCUGGUUCCGUGAAUCUGCGUUUUUAACAUAAGAUAAAAUAAUCAUAGAGUAUAGGAAGCAGUCAGGUACGGAUUUGUCUCAGUUGAGCAGAGAGAGGACUUUUUGUUCUGUCCUUUGCCCUAUGCCUGUGAAGAUAAGCUGUUAAUAAUGUACAUUGUCAGGGUGAAAUUUAACAGAACCACUUUAGGGUAAAGAUCUUGGGGCCCAUAGGAAAUUUUCUUGUGAGAAAAACUUGAGGAAGGAUGUAGCCAUCUAUUUGGGAACAAAAUAGGAGGCAGGUUUGCAUGACCCAGCUCCCAGCUUGACUUUUGCCUUUGGCUUAGUGAGCUUCAGGUACUGAGAUUGUAUUUUUCUUUCACACACCCUUGAAGAAACAUGCAAAUAUCAAUUAAAAGAGAGGAAGUGUGGCUAUAUUAACAUGAAAUAAAAUACACUUUAAGUCAAAAACUGUUACAAGACACAAAGAAGGACAUUAAAUAUAGUUGAAGGGUGACUUCAUCAGGGAGCAAUGACAAUUAUAAACACAUAUGCACCAAACAUUAGAGUGCCUAAUUAUUUGAAGCAAACAUUGACAAAAUUGAAGAGAGAAAUAGAUAGUUCUACAAUAAUGGUAAGACACUUCAAUGACCCUACUUUCCACAGUGGAUGAAACAGCCAGAAAGAACAUAGAUAAGAAAAUAGAGGACUUGAACAGCACUAUAGACCAAUUGGAUCUAAUAAAUAUAUGCAGAACACUCCACACAACAUACGAGGAGUACACAUUGUUCUCAUGUAAAUGUGAAACAUUCUC
rnacentral:lncRNA from 10 species